AUCCUGCUACAGAUCAGGGUACCUCUCCCGAGGUGGCGGCAGCGGCUUCAGCAAGCCCCUGCAGAGACGGAGAGGAAAUUAGAAAUCCGGCCCGGAGGACGAGCAGGAGGGAUGAGCACUUGCUGUGCAUGACGCGAUGAGAACGCUCGGGAAAGACCUCAAGUGGAGCAGAACGCAAAGCCCACAGAGACCGGCUAAGGAACAUGUACUACUGGUGACAAAUGGACUUAGAAUAUUUUCACUCCCAGGCAACUAUUUGGAAAGAGAAGCUCACAGUUAAA